UACGAAGGGUGCAAGCGUUAAUCGGAAUUACUGGGCGUAAAGCGUGCGUAGGCGGUUUGUUAAGUCUGUUGUGAAAUCCCCGGGCUCAACCUGGGAAUGGCAAUGGAUACUGGCAGGCUAGAGUGUGUCAGAGGAUGGUGGAAUUCCCGGUGUAGCGGUGAAAUGCAUUGAGAUCGGAAAGAACACCAACGGCGAAAGCACUCUGCUGGGCCGACACUGACACUGAGAGACGAAAGCUAGGGGAGCAAAUGGG
rnacentral:rRNA from 1 species